CGGACGGGUGAGUAAUGUCUGGGAAACUGCCUGAUGAGGGGGAGUAACUACUGGAAACGGUAGCUAAUACCGCAUAACGUCGCAGGACCAAAGAGGGGGACCUUAGGGCCUCUUGCCAUCGGAUGUGCCCAGAUGGGAUUAGCUAGUAGGUGGGGUAACGGCUCACCUAGGCGACGAUCCCUAGCUGGUCUGAGAGGAUGACCAGCCACACUGGAACUGAGACACGGUCCAG
rnacentral:rRNA from 1 species